UACGUAGGGGGCGAGCGUUGUCCGGAAUUAUUGGGCGUAAAGCGCGCGCAGGCGGUCCCUUAAGUCUGAUGUGAAAGCCCACGGCUCAACCGUGGAGGGUCAUUGGAAACUGGGGGACUUGAGUGCAGAAGAGGAGAGCGGAAUUCCACGUGUAGCGGUGAAAUGCGUAGAGAUGUGGAGGAACACCAGUGGCGAAGGCGGCUCUCUGGUCUGUAACUGACGCUGAGGCGCGAAAGCGUGGGGAGCAAACAGGAUUAGAUACCCUGGUAGUCCACGCCGUAAACGAUGAGUGCUAAGUGUUAGAGGGGUCAAACCCUUUAGUGCUGUAGCUAACGCGUUAAGCACUCCGCCUGGGGAGUACGGCCGCAAGGCUGAA
rnacentral:rRNA from 1 species